CCCUCCAGGGAAGGUGUCCUGCUUCUGGCUACUAUCCCGUGUCUGGUCAUGGGAACCUUACCCUGUGAGUUUACCAGGAGCCUGACAGCAAGAUCAGUUUCUGCAGUGUGAUGGCCCAAGCACAGACCUGAUCUGGGAACGCAAAACUCCAGUUGCAGGAAACAUCCACAGAGAAUGAGUCUAGGCACCCACCUGUGCACCUGAGCUCCUCCAGCCAAGGGAGGAGCCAGAAGCAGCCACAGCAAGAUAUUGCUGGAUCCCAGCUUUGUUCCUCCGCUGCCCAGGAGUCUCAGGCACAGCUCAGCUGGCAGGAAAGGCCGACUCCUUCCCUGCUUCCCGCUCUGCCUCUGCCAGGCUCUGGGUAGGAGAAAAAAUGCCAGCUCUUUCUUGAGAGGCAGAGUUUCCAUCCCCCAUUUUCACAACCAAUUACACGGAGGCAGAGUCAUCUACAUCUGAGGUGGACCCUGAAAAGUUGGCUUCUUAUUUGAGUUUUUUUAACUGACGCAUAAAAAUUAUACACAUUCUGAUUUCCUUUUGUCUCUGAGUUGAUCUUUUCUGGAGCUACCUAUUUACUUCUCUCCUUGCCUUUGUGGGCAGCUCUGCCCUCUUUUGUCAUCUGUCAGCAAUUCCCAGGUAAAAGAAGUGUGACUGUCCUGGUCUCUGCAAACUGGCCCAAGUCCCUUCUGUAUGAACUCUGUUAGUCGUUAAGAUCCAUGAAAACACUUCUUCCUGUAGCCUCUGAUGCUUCCCAGAAUCCCGAACCCAGGGGAGUCUCCUGUCUCUUCCAAUGGGUCCUCAGGAUGUUAAUUAAAGGUGCACUGAAAUCUGCAACUUUAUGAGUCAGUGUUGUGACUCUAAACCCUCAAGUUCUCU